rnacentral:rRNA from 1 species
GACGAACGCUGGCGGCGUGCCUAACACAUGCAAGUCGAACGGGACUUAGUGGAAUGCGACUUCGGUCAAAGGAAAUUAAGUUUAGUGGCGAACGGGUGAGUAACGCGUGAGGAACCUGCCUUUCAGUGGGGGACAACAGUUGGAAACGACUGCUAAUACCGCAUAAUGUAUUCGAGCGGCAUCGCUUGAAUACCAAAGCUUUAUGUGCUGAAAGAUGGCCUCGCGUCUGAUUAGCUAGUUGGUGGGGUAACGGCCCACCAAGGCGACGAUCAGUAGCCGGUCUGAGAGGAUGAACGGCCACAUUGGGACUGAGAUACGGCCCAGACUCCUACGGAGGCAGCAGUGGGGAAUAUUGGGCAAAUGGGGGGGAACCCUGACCCAGCAACGCCGCGUGAAGGAAGAAGGACCUGGGUUGUAACGUUACUUUACUAGGACGAAGAACGUAGACGGUACCGU